rnacentral:tRNA from 1 species
GGCUUGUAGCUCAGUGGUAGAGUGCUUUCCCUGAAUGUGGAAGGCACUGGGUUCGAGCCUCAGCACCA